AGUCAGCACAUGGAAGGGGAACUGGAGGAGAACAUUAAGCUGAGAGGAGGUCCUGGUGGGCUGGGGCCAACUCCCCAGGAGCAGAGGGAGCAGCCAGCAGCCUGGAUGGGCAGAGGCGAGACCAGGGGCUCCGACUCCCUGUCUCCCAGAAGCUGCCCGCCCCCUCUUCCCCCCUGCUUUUGCAAAGUUUUCUGAGUUCCAUCUGCAGUACUCUGACCCGAGGGCACCUCUACAGCUGCGCCCAGAGGGACUGAAGCUGCUACUAGCAUGGCACGGUCCUGGGAGCUUUGAGGACACCCACAGAGACAGACGGUGCACACUGACUGGGUACCAACAUCCAGGAGAGGGUCCCUGUGUGUCAAGGAUCCUCAGAGGGACAACCAAUGCAUAACAACAGAUAAUGGGUCCACACUCCUUUCUGCCUCCUCCUGAUCGCAAAACUUAAUCAUAGUCUGCACACGUUAUCACUGCACACUGCUCAGGCUCCUCCAGAUCAGUCAGAAAUUAUAGGAGAUAAAACCAACAGAAUUUAAACAAAGACAAGAAAGACCUGGAAUGAUGGGCAGACUUGUCUAAUUAUUGCUAUUUUUAGAACUCAUACUGCAAGUGGUAGAAAAGAAUGGGGGUGGGGGGUGCUGACCAAAGAGAUUGCUUCAUUAUUGGAAACAGAAGAUAAGUAGGCUGAAGAGGGUGAUUGGAAAGUUGAGAACAGGGAGGCAGUUCAUUCCAGGAGCUGAGCACUAGGAGAAAGAAGGGCACAUGAGACCAGAUGAUGGAAGCUGACCUGGCUUUCCACUCUGGCUACAGACUUUCUGGAUGUGUGACCUCGAAUACGUUCCUUAAGAGAAUAUUCUGGUUGGAUGCAGCACCUCAUAGUUCCUGAUCUGGCAAACAGUGCAUGGCUGAAUUUCCACCCUCCCAACAGUACAUUUGUGCAGCAUCCCAGCUACCCAACCACACGCAGCAAGCAGGUGUCACUUCACAUCUGUAGACCCCUGCUUGUCCUCUCCAUAAGUGAAGACAAUAUCUGCAAAACAGGGAGAUCCAACACAGGAGACAAAAUGCAAGGCGAGAACCAAUAAUUAAAAAAAAGAAAAAGUCAUUCAAGGUCUUAGGGUGCAGGCCACCCAGGACAAAGACUGGGAGGAGCAUGGGUUCUCUGCCACAUGUGACGGGGCAGUGAAGACCAAUUCUGAUUGAUAUCUUAGAGUAGGAAGUUGGAGGAUUUAGGGAUACCCAGUGACUGAAUUCUAGGUUACAUCAUCGAUAUCAUUAAUUUCUUGACAUAGAAGCUGACCAGCUCUCAGCAUUUCAUAAUCAUUGCAGAGCGCAGGCUAGGGGCUCUGGGGCUCCAGCCCUGCCAGUCUGUAAUUGAUGUAGGUUA
rnacentral:lncRNA from 1 species